rnacentral:ncRNA from 1 species
UUAUUUGAGAGUUUGAUCCUGGCUCAGGAUGAACGCUGGCGGCGUGCUUAACACAUGCAAGUCGAGCGAAGCAUUAAAACCGAUUUCUUCGGAUUGAAGUUCUAAUGACUGAGCGGCGGACGGGUGAGUAACGCGUGGGUGACCUGCCUCAUACAGGGGGAUAACAGACAGAAAUGUCUGCUAAUACCGCAUAAGCGCACAGUGCUGCAUGGCACAGUGUGAAAAACUCCGGUGGUAUGAGAUGGACCCGCGUCUGAUUAGCUAGUUGGUAAGGUAACGGCUUACCAAGGCGACGAUCAGUAGCCGGCCUGAGAGGGUGAACGGCCACAUUGGGACUGAGACACGGCCCAAACUCCUACGGGAGGCAGCAGUGGGGAAUAUUGCACAAUGGGGGAAACCCUGAUGCAGCGACGCCGCGUGAAGGAAGAAGUAUUUCGGUAUGUAAACUUCUAUCAGCAGGGAAGAAAAUGACGGUACCUGACUAAGAAGCCCCGGCUAACUACGUGCCAGCAGCCGCGGUAAUACGUAGGGGGCAAGCGUUAUCCGGAUUUACUGGGUGUAAAGGGAGCGUAGACGGCA